rnacentral:rRNA from 1 species
GCAUAUCAAUAAGCGGAGGAAAAGAAACCAACAGGGAUUGCCCUAGUAACGGCGAGUGAAGCGGCAACAGCUCAAAUUUGAAAUCUGGCUCUUUCAGAGUCCGAGUUGUAAUUUGCAGAGGGCGCUUUGGCUUUGGCAGCGGUCCAAGUUCCUUGGAACAGGACGUCACAGAGGGUGAGAAUCCCGUACGUGGUCGCUAGCUAUUGCCGUGUAAAGCCCCUUCGACGAGUCGAGUUGUUUGGGAAUGCAGCUCUAAAUGGGAGGUAAAUUUCUUCUAAAGCUAAAUAUUGGCCAGAGACCGAUAGCGCACAAGUAGAGUGAUCGAAAGAUGAAAAGCACUUUGGAAAGAGAGUCAAACAGCACGUGAAAUUGUUGAAAGGGAAGCGCUUGCAGCCAGACUUGCUUGCAGUUGCUCAUCCGGGCUUUUGCCCGGUGCACUCUUCUGCAGGCAGGCCAGCAUCAGUUUGGGCGGUGGGAUAAAGGUCUCUGACACGUUCCUUCCUUCGGGUUGGCCAUAUAGGGGAGACGUCAUACCACCAGCCUGGACUGAGGUCCGCGCAUCUGCUAGGAUGCUGGCGUAAUGGCUGUAAGCGGCCCGUCUUGAAACACGGACCAAGGAGUCUAACAUCUAUGCGAGUGUUUGGGUGUCAAGCCCGAGCGCGUAAUGAAAGUGAACGGAGGUGGGAACCCGCAAGGGUGCACCAUCGACCGAUCCUGAAGUUUACGGAAGGAUUUGAGUAAGAGCAUGGCUGUUGGGACCCGAAAGAUGGUGAACUAUGCUUGAAUAGGGUGAAGCCAGAGGAAACUCUGGUGGAGGCUCGCAGCGGUUCUGACGUGCAAAUCGAUCGUCAAAUUUGGGCAUAGGGGCGAAAGACUAAUCGAACUAUCUAGUAGCUGGUUCUGCGAAG